GUAGCUCCCGGCCCCGCGGCCAUGCCCAAGCGCAGCUGCCCCUUCGCCGACGUGGCCCCGCUACAGCUCAAGGUCCGCGUGAGCCAGAGGGAGUUGAGCCGCGGCGUGUGCGCGGAGCGCUACUCGCAGGAGGUCUUCGACCCAUCUGGGGUAGCGUCCAUUGCCUGUUCCUCAUGCGUGCGAGCCGUGGAUGGGAAGGCGGUCUGCGGCCAGUGUGAGCGAGCCCUGUGCGGGCAGUGUGUGCGCACCUGCUGGGGCUGCGGCUCCAUGGCCUGUACCCUGUGUGGCCUCGUGGAGUAAGUACUUCAGUCCCUGGAGCUGCUGAGAUUCCCAUAGCCCCAGCAAGCCGUGAUGGGGGACGGGUGGGUCACCCAUGUGGGCCCAGAGCACACACAUGUGUGGCCCCUGAUGCAGUGCCAUCUGGCAUUGCCUAACGGGACAUGGUGGCAAUAGAUGCUUGGCCC
rnacentral:sRNA from 1 species